CUGGUAAAUCAUUCUAAGUGAGGCUUUCUAACAUCUUACUAGCCUAGGAUUAACAUCAGCCCAUUUUUCGGAGGAAACCAACGAGACUGGCUAUUUGACUGGAUCCCCCAAUUGGUUUACUCCAAGAUUCCUCUUCAUUGGCUUAAGAAGAUACAAGACAGGAGUCUCCAAUCCUUAGACCAUGGACCAAUAUCAACCAUGGCCAGUUAGCAACCCGGUAGCAAAGCAGGAGGAAUAUGUUUAAUACUGUUCAGAAGAAGAGAAGGAAAGAAAAGCAAAAAGAACAGAGGAAAAGAAAGCCAGAGGCAAGGAAUAAAAAAGUCCUAUACAAAAAGACUCCACCACGAAGAAGAUUGAGAGGCACAAGGAAAAUCAACCCUGAGAAGUAAAUACUGUUGCUGUCAUCCCCAUUUUACAAAUGAGGAAACAAAAAUAGAGAAAUGAAGCAAUUUGUUCAAGAUCACUCUGCUAGCAAGCAACAGAACCAGGAGUUUAACCCAGAGCAUAGCAGAGAACAAACAAGGAGGAGGAAGAACAGGAGGAGGAGGGGGAAAAGAGGAGGAAGAAGAAAGAAAGACUAAAGAAGAAGAAAGAAGGAAGGAGGAGGGGAGAAAAAGAAAAUAAUAAUGAUAGUCUCAAUUUUAGACUAUUAUGUACCAUAUUAAGGACUUAACAUUCACUCCCUCACUCAUACAUUUUUUCAAGGUAAAUGUGCUGUUAUCCCCAUAGCAUAGACACCUCUGGACUUCUGAAACAGAAUCCUGUGACCACCGUGGAUGAAACAUAGACUCUCAUUAAGCUGCAGUUCCAAUGCCUGAGUAACGUGAAUUGCUUCUAUGAUAAGGCAUUAUUUAGCCUUUGCCUGAAACAGCCCUAAUGAGAAGGAUCUCGCCACCUCAUGGCACGGUCCAUUUCAUUUUCAGAAGCUUUCUUUGUAAUCUGUGCUUAUAAAAUUGUUAACAGGGGAUAGCUAAUAAAAUGGCCUCCUAAAAACUCUA